CACGCCUGCAGCAUACUGCUGAGCAAGUCCUCCCGAAGCCUUGUAUAUUGGCAAAUUUAGGGGGGCCUUUGCAGCACUGGGGUGGUAAAAGAGCCAUCUCCUGCCAAGGUAAAGCUGCAUUUCUGAGCUGAAGACAUAGGAAAUAUUUUUUGAAUAAAUACUUCAUAGACAUUUUUUUUUUUUUUUUUUAAACCACGUGCAGAAGCAAUGUGUUUGCAAAAGCAGCUGGCUAUAAUUCUCUAGAAGCGCAGCCAGAGGAUGCUCCACGCGGGAGAUCUCCAGCAGCACGACUGAAGGCAGUGAUGCAAGGCUUGGGAGGUAGGUAGCUGCUUCACAGACCUGCCUGCAUCUGGCUGCUCUGGAAACGACUGUGCAUUAGCGCGGCGCACUGCUGAGCCCUCGAACCCAGCCCAUCCUCCUAAAGAGGGAAGUCAUCAGCCCUAUUCAUAGUGCUUACACUCGAUACCGGGAUGUGACACCGAUACAUGAACUGAAUUUGUGCAAAUUAGUUUUACUUAUUUAUACAGCAGCAUUUUAUAAAGAGCUGAUAAAGCCACUGAGAGUCUUUGAAAUGCAGUUCUGCAUUUACAGGCUGUACAGCAAGUAGUACAGCGUAACGAAUAUACAACAUCUGAAAUCACAUGUAAUUUGGGAAACAGUAUAUAUUACCUUGAUGCUGUGCUGUGGUGGGGUUUUUUUCUUCCUGUACGUUAAGUUCAAGGUUUCGAAAUGUACCCAGCUGAGCUGCUUAAAAAUCACCACCAAAAAUAAAAUGAUAAUUGGACAAA